CAACAACAGAGCGGUCCUAAACAAACACACAGUCAGACAGAGACAUACGCUCUGACGCACUGUAUUAUGGAACUGUUGGGGACCGUGUGGAGCGAAGCGGCAAACUUCGAUCGAAAAGAGUGAGAUAGAGGGAGGUGGCGGCGAGAAAGA
ensembl:ncRNA Y54E10A.24 ncRNA